ACGUUGCAGGUGCACGUGGUACCCAAGAUGAGUCCCUAAGGAUGGCCUCCUGCAGCAGUUCAUCUGUGGCUUGGGUUGGCAUGGUCAGAGGACAAGGAAAAAAGGAAAGCAAGCGUGACUUGCUGCCGGAGGGGAUCAGCCCAGGCCCCCUCCAUCACUCCUCAGGACAGGACAAGGUCAUACGGAUACAAUGAGAUAACCUCAGGUUUACAGAAAAGCUGGCGGUCUUUCACCAAUGGCUGUGACGUCAAGGAAAGCAAAGGGAUCGGUGUGCAGCUGAGAGCACAGCAGUCCGUCCUUGCCAGAUGAAUUCUCUGAAGAAUAAUCGGAGGCUUCCUGUGCCACACAGAGAAGGCUGUCAGGGCUGCUUAGCUGCCCCAGGGCCACUAUCUCCCUUCAGUUAGUGCGGAGAACCAUGCACCUGAGAUCCUAGGAAUGAAAAGAGGCCUCGCCUUCUUACUUCCUCCCAGCCUCAGUUUAUAACCAACCUCCAGCCACGUCACCCUCAGAGAAGACCCGGCCAUGUAGUUCUCAGCAAUGGGAAUAGACACUUGAACAUCUUCAGAAUAAAAGACUCUAUAAAUACCAACGAUAGGAAAUUCUCUACUCUGAUAAAGACACUUUGCAAAGACCAGAGUAAACAACAAAAGCGCCAAGUGUGUGGCUCCACGCAUUAUUUUUAGACUAUCCCUCAUGGCUCAGAGCAGACGUGCAAGAUGGGAGAGCUGGGGUUGGCUGCCAGUCAUAUUCCAUUUCAGUCCCCUCAACCCCGGAAAGUGCUAGAUCCUUGAUUGUUUUGCUAAAAACAUCCCAGAAUGGAUUUUACCGUCAGCUGCUCUUGAUCCUUUAUAAUUUCCUGCAUUUGCUGUUGACUGGCAUUCCUGACCUUGAUAGAAAUAUCCAGACAAAAUGCCUAGCCCGUGAGCUGUGACUUUGUCAUUGGCAGCUUCAGCCACCCUGGCAGCAGUCCCUUCAGCUUGCACCUUUGGCUAUAGGAAGUCAGUCCGCACAGCCACCCUGCUGUGGCUGAGCGGUGACCUCAGGCUCCCUUGCUCUGGGUCUCGGUGUUCUUCUUAAGCAUUAGGUGGUGAACAAGGUCAGGUAAGAGCUCUGGAGGGGACUCCUGACACAAGCACAAAGGUCACUUGAGUGUUAAAAAUGCCACAGACAAGACAAGCCGGGCGGCGGUGGCACACGCCUUUAAUCCCAGCACUCGGGAGGCAGAGGCAGGCAGAUCUCUGUGAGUUUGAGACCAGCCUGGUCUACAAGAGCUAGUUCCAGGACAGGCUCCAAAGCUACAGAGAAACCCUGUCUCGAAAAACCAAAAAAAAAAAUGCCACAGACAAGACCAGGAUUGCUCAGGGUGGUGGCGCACACCUUUAAUCCCAUCAUUCAGGAGGCAGAGGUAGGGGAUCUCUAAGUUAGAGGCCAGCCUAGUCUACAGAGUUCUAGGACAGCCAGGCUAUCCAUAUAAAAACUCUGUCUCCUAAAAAAAGAAGAAGAAGGAGAAGAAGAAGAAGAAGAAGAAGAAGAAGAAGAAGAAGAAGAAGAAGAAGAAGAAGAAGAAGAAGAAGAAGAAGAAGAAGAAGAAGAAGAAGAAGAAGAAAAGAAAUAAACAAAUAAAAUGCCACUGAACAUGGUUGUGUGGCUGUGUAUGCAAGUUCAACUCAGGGGAGACGGAUAUAUGAAAAUGAACUUCAUACAUUCUCUGUACUGAGAUAUCCAGGCCUGAAUUGCAGCAUAUUCAGUGCAGCAGACAAUAACUGGACUUCACGAUUUACAACACUGUCUGAAGCAGCACCAGCUGUCCCCCGACACUCUUCAAACUGUCUCACAGAGUGGUAUUGUACAGGACCAUCCUCCCAGCAGAACGCCCACCUUCCUAAGACCAGCUGUGUCUGCGUGGGAAAGGUCCUCACAGCCGGCCUUGUUGACUGAUGACAUUCCCUUCUAGAAGGAGUGGGGGCUACUGAAGCCUCACCUGAGUGUCCAGCCACUCCUCUGAGCCCCAUGUAUCCUGCCCUAUCUGCAUGGGGCAUUGAGGUCUUAAGGAGGGGCUCGAGAGUGUAGACUCAGGAAGACGAGGGGAAGGAGGCAUAUCUACAUGGCUCCAAGGAAGCCAUCAUCACUGGGUGAAGAGUCCCCAGUGUGUCUGCUUUGGAAUCACCCAUGUUCUCAUUAGUAACGCCUCACCCAUGUGCGUAAGGAUAUAUAAAAUCUAUUGGUUCCCCAGGGUGAACUCUGAUGGAAUUGUGCUUUGGUUUGCCACUGGAACCUUGAAAGGAAGAAAAUUCUCUCACCGUGUUGCUCAAGAGAAGGACAGGUUAGCCCAGGAUCCUCAGCAUUGAGUCAGGAACCCUCUAUCCUAAUGCAGAGGUCACCAUUAUCCUUGAGGGGAUGUGUUUCAAGAACCCAGUGCCUGGCUGGACACAAAUCCUUGUCUACAAUUUCUGCUUAUACUUCAGACAGAGUGAAACUAUAAAUUAGGCACUGGAAGAGUUAACAACAAAAAACAACGAUAAAAUACAACACGUAACAGUAUAUUGUAAUGAUGUGAACGUGGUCUCUCCAUCUCUUUCUCAAAUACCUAUUGUAUUGUAGAUCUUAGCAAUGUCAGCAUUUAAUUUGUCUCUUGCCUUACUAAGAGGUGAAGUUUAACCUUUGCAGAUGGCUCCAGACAGUACUAGCCUGAGGAAAAAUCAGAAGCAUAAGGUAUGGCUUCUACUAAGUGCAUAUGGCUUUCUCACCAUGUGAAGUAGGAAGUCAUGCAUCAUGCUGUCUUAAACCAGGGAUUUUCUGUACUUACAACAGGAAGAGCAAGACUUAGCACUGACCUAGAAACCAUCCCCCACAGUGCUCCAACAACAAACAUGCAUGCUCUGCACAACACUGACAAUGUGUGCUGUGUGCAACCCUGACCAUGGAUGCUGUAUGAAACCCUGACCAUUUAUGCUGUGUGCAACCCUGACCAUGGAUGCUGUGUGCAACCCUGACCAUGGAUGCUGUAUGAAACCCUGACCAUUUAUGCUGUGUGCAACCCUGACCAUUUAUGCUGUGUGCAACCCUGACCAUGGAUGCUGUGUGCAACCCUGACCAUGGAUGCUAUGUGCAAACUGACCAUGUAUACUGUGUGUAACCCUGACCAUGUAUACUGUGUGUAAUCCUGACCAUGGAUGCUGUAUGAAACCCUGCCCAUGGAUGCUAUGUGCAACCUGACCAUGUAUACUGUAUGUAACCCUGACCAUGUAUACUGUGUGUAACCCUGACCAUGGAUGCUGUGUGCAACCUGACCAUGUAUACUGUGUGUAACCCUGACCAUGGAUGCUCUGCGAAAUGCUGACCAUGGAUGCUAUG